GGCGAACGCUGGCGGCGUGCUUAACACAUGCAAGUCGAACGGAAAGGCCCUGCUUGCAGGGUACUCGAGUGGCGAACGGGUGAGUAACACGUGGGUGAUCUGCCCUGCACUUCGGGAUAAGCCUGGGAAACUGGGUCUAAUACCGGAUAGGAGCCAUUUUUAGUGUGAUGGUUGGAAAGUUUUUUCGGUGUAGGAUGAGCUCGCGGCCUAUCAGCUUGUUGGUGGGGUAAUGGCCUACCAAGGCGGCGACGGGUAGCCGGCCUGAGAGGGUGGACGGCCACAUUGGGACUGAGAUACGGCCCAGACUCCUACGGGAGGCAGCAGUGGGGAAUAUUGCACGAUGGGCGCAAGCCUGAUGCAGCGACGCCGCGUGGGGGAUGACGGCCUUCGGGUUGUAAACUCCUUUCGCUAGGGACGAAGCUUUUUGUGACGGUACCUAGAUAAGAAGCACCGGCUAACUACGUG
rnacentral:rRNA from 1 species